rnacentral:tRNA from 3 species
AGCCCCGUGGUGAAGCACACACUGAAUUGCAAAUUCAGAGACGUAGACUAACAGUCUGCCGGGGCUU